rnacentral:lncRNA from 1 species
CAGGUUUGUUCUCUGAACUCUCUGAUUCUUUUUAGCAGCAGGGAAAGUUUGCACCGCACAAGAAAGGUCCGGUUCAAGAAGGCUCUUCCUUUGAGUUUAUUAGACUCCUCAAAGGGAGUUUGUUCUUGGGUUUGGAUUUUUUCUCAACCUCAUCACACCUCUCCUAGGAGGAACAGAGAUCCAGAGAACCUUUUUUCUCUUCUGGAUUCUUGCCGCCUUUUGGCCUUUCGAAAGGGUUCUUUUGCAAUACCCUUCUUGUUCAUCACCCCUUUUUCUUUUUCUUUGCACAAAACCCGCUGUUUCUCUACUUUUAUUGAGGAACAGGGCUGAUUUCCAAACUUUUUUUCUACUUUAAUUUGCAUAAAAAGCUCCUUUUAUUUCUCACCGUUUUUAGUUGCCCCAGCCUCUUCUUCUAGCUCCAUCCAACUAGUCAUAAUGGCCGCAGCCAUAGAUAUGUACAAGUAUUACAACACUAGUGCAC